GGGAGCCACUUUGUGCCUGGGC
rnacentral:miRNA from 15 species